UUCUAAUAUGUAAAUCCUGCCCUGGGAAAAACUCUUCAAACAGACAGACUUCUAUCAUAAUACAGGAAGACAGGAAGUGAGCUGGGUGGGAACCAGAGGGGUGGUGAACUUCCACCUCUCACUUCCUGUAAGGCCUAGUCUGAAAAGGAAAGCAUGGCAUGGUGGAGAUACUCUGUAUUCUCCUGGAUGGAUUCUCCUGGAUUAAAGAUGGGCCGCCAGCCGAUGUCAAAGCACCUGACCAAGACUGACAACUGGUGAAUGGAAAACCGGAAUAAGCACUUGGAAGAAAACCGACAACCGAGACAACUUGCCUUUGAUUUGCCUGGCGUAAUGGAUACUUUGAAAACCACAAGAGUGCAGCUAAUAGUACUGAAGAAUGAUGGUGGAAGUUCAUCCUGUGUGGGUGUAUCGUGUGCAUCACCUUCUGUCCCGUCUGAAGAGUUGAGCUCAUCUCCUUGUCAAGUGUCGUACUUAAGGCCU